AAAUAUGAAGCAAUAAAUGCGAUUAGUUUCGACCUAAUAAAUUAGUGUUAAAUCACUCUUAUUUA
rnacentral:tRNA from 1 species